rnacentral:rRNA from 1 species
GACGAACGCUGGCGGCGUGCCUAAUACAUGCAAGUAGAACGCUGAAGGAGGAGCUUGCUUCUCUGGAUGAGUUGCGAACGGGUGAGUAACGCGUAGGUAACCUGCCUGGUAGCGGGGGAUAACUAUUGGAAACGAUAGCUAAUACCGCAUAAGAGUAGAUGUUGCAUGACAUUUGCUUAAAAGGUGCAAUUGCAUCACUACCAGAUGGACCUGCGUUGUAUUAGCUAGUUGGUGGGGUAACGGCUCACCAAGGCGACGAUACAUAGCCGACCUGAGAGGGUGAUCGGCCACCCUGGGACUGGGACACGGCCCAGACUCCUACGGGAGGCAGCCGUAGGGAAUCUUCGGCAAUGGACGGAAGUCUGACCGAGCAACGCCGCGUGAGUGAAGAAGGUUUUCGGAUCGUAAAGCUCUGUUGUAAGAGAAGAACGAGUGUGAGAGUGGAAAGUUCACACUGUGACGGUAUCUUACCAGAAAGGGACGGCUAACUACGUG